GGGGAAGGGCGCGGAGGGACCGUGGGCGGAGCGGGGCGAGGGCUGGCGCUUCGGCUGCGUUCUGCGGGCGGACUGCGGCGGAGCGGGGUCGGCGAGGCGUUUGCAGCGGGGGUUUCUCCUUCCCCAGUUGCCACUCUCGCGCUGAGCCCCGCCGCGCCGCCGGGGGCGGGCGCCAGGAGUUAAGAUGGCGGCGGGAGCGGUGCCGGGGGAGAAGCGCGGUGCUCGUGCCAGGCCUGGUGCCCGGCUCCCUUCCUCGCUGUGGGUGCUCUUGUCAGGGAGCCGCGGUAAUGGCAGCGCGCGAGUCAACCGUGUAGCUGAGGGAGCCCGGCCGCGCGGGAGCGGAGCGGGAAGCGGCUGCGUGCCGCCGGAACAGCGCUUUGUCCCGUGUGGAGAUGCGGCAGCGAGAAACGCGUUCCUUAACCGAUGAAAUAAAUAUUCGCCCACGCUGUGCAAGCAGUGCUCGUUUUACGUUGUUAAGCCUUUUCCUACGUGCCGUUGCGGGCAGCGGGGCUGUGCGCUGUGCCGACUGCUGCUGUGGGACGCCCGGCAGCACCGCGCGCCUCCUGCGAGGAUGUCAGGGCUUCAAACGAGGGUUUGUCGUCCGUAAAUAGAUCGCCUUCAGUGCCCGCUGAAUGCUGAGCGCUGUGACGAGAAGUGCCGAGUUUGUGCUGGAAGGCCAAAUAUUACAGCUGUGAGUUUAUGCAGGUCUGUGUCCCAUUGAAGGCAUGGAGCAGCCCGUGAGACUUCAGGCCCCGACACAGCGAGUGCGAGCAGGAAAGUUGGUGGGGUUUUGUGGCGGCGGCGGUGGUGUUUUGUGGGGUUUUUGUUGUUUUUGAGAUAACGAAGUGAAAUGAGAACACACGAAACACCAAAAGUACAUCCGCGUGCUCUCUGAUAUCAAAGCUCCUGCCGCACAUCUGUGCUGCUUUGAAGAUGAGACGUAAGCAAACAGCCCAGGAGGUGACUCUCCUACACAGAGUGCGGUUUGGCUCUGCUUUAUUGCAGUCUCUGAUUUGCCGGAGCUGUAAUGUGGAACCGUAUUUCAGUGAGUCUUAUCGUGCUUUUCCUUUCUGUCCUGGCAGUGUCAGACACGGAGGUGUUCUGAUGUGGUCCCACAGCGCUGGAAAUAGAGUGAAAUCGCGGAUGUAGGGGCGGGGAUGUGGGGGGAGGUUCUUACCUGCCCCGGGCUAUGAGAGCUCUCUAAAGUGGCUGGAACUUACACAGUGCUGGUCUGUGCUUUCUCUUCUUUGUGUUGCAUGAGAUAAAGCGUUAGUGAGUUGUUGCUUUUGGGUAAUGAGGCAAAUCAGCAUCAGAAAACAAGAAUAAGAGAAGACCGAAGUGAAAACUGGGGAGAAAGUGGCAGGGGAAAAAAGAAGCCGUGCAUGCUUUGUUGUAUAAUUUCUACAAUUCGGUGCAAACCAAAUAUUUCUGCUACAUCUCGGUACAAAUUCACCCACUAGUGGGUGCAGCAGCCGCCCUCUGCAUGCAAUAAAUGAAACAAUUGAGCUCUGUUGAGGCUCCAGAUAGCGGAAACAGCAGACUACCCAAAAUAGAGAGACGGUUGAGCCUUCCCUUUUUACCUUUUACCCAUUCCCUCCACCCCAAGCAGAUGCAAGUGAGGACGAAGAAAACAACACACGUAGCUCAAACAAGAAGAGAGUGCCAUGAGAAGGAUCUUUUGGGGCUUAGACUGGCAGCGAGAACCUUAAAAUAGGAGCAAAACUGUUGCCUUUUGCUGUUGGAUGGGUUCUUUAAGGAGAACAUAACUCCUUAUGUAUUGUCAUGUAUUUAAGAAAAAAUCCAAACAACGAAACUUAAAUAAUAGCAAAGGCUUGUACCAAAGAAACAUACCACUCCGGAGAGCAGUUAUCUCCCCAGGCAAUAUAACCGUCAAGCCCUAAUUCUGUUUCCCUAAUUGUUCACUACUGGAUUGCAUAGCAUCCAAAUUUGGUUUGGCUGAAGCCUGGGUACUUGUCUAUAUUGCCUCUGAAUGCAGCAUAGAUGUUAAACUGGCUUUGUGCUGGUAUUUCUUGCUUGGUAUCCAGGUACAGGCAAUACCCGAUAAGUUACUUCCAUACAAUUGUUUUAGAACUAGGCCUUGAGGUCAUUUGCUUUAGAGUGAGGUUGUUUGCUCUGCUGAUCUAGAGGGUACCAUCAGUGAGGCCCUCAAGUUUGCAUUAAAUGGUGAUAUCCGUGGAGAAAAACAAUCAGGACUGUACAAACGUGAAGGCAAGAAGACAAGCAGGUAUGACCCAAGAGGAAAAUGACUGGAAAGCCCUGACAUUUGUAGCAUUGUUUGAAAGGAUGCUCUUUUAGGUUCACCAGUAGCUUGGUGUACCCCAUGCUGUUUUCAACAACAGUUGCAUCCUAUUGUGCUUCUGUAGAUGGUGAUCAUGGAGUUCAAAUGCAAGACCUGUAGGGAGCUGGCUGAAAUCUGUUCAUCUUUAGUGUUACCAGUGAUACCCCUCAUCUUGUACUCCAGAAACAUCACAAGAAUCUUCCUUUACCCCUGAGGUAGUGAGCUACCAGAGCUGCUGAUUUUGUUUUUUUUUAACAGUGGGCAUUUGAAGUGUAAGUGUUGUAAGCUACACCGUGCUGAACAUGUAUGGCAGAAGGAAAAACAGGACCCUAGUCCCUAAACUAGAGCACUGCUUCAACUGUAUGUGAUAGAUACUUUGUGGAUGCAUUGCUUACGUACAAAUCGUUGUUGUUGCUGUUAGAAAUCUGUGGUUUAAAAAAACAGGUGUUCAGACAUUCACUAAACCUGAUGGAAGGCAAGGUCACCACAGCUGUGCUGCAUUCAGAGCACAGCAUCUGUGCAGCCAGCUAGAUGUUCAGCAGCUUAACGAGGGCUCAGGCCCUCAUGUGGAUUCCAAGUGUGUAACCUCAGGCUGUGUGAGUCCUCUAGCCAUUGCUUCUUUGGGUUCAUUCAUACAGGGCUUAUACAUUAUUCUCCACUCCUGACCUUGUUCUUCCCCCACCCCUUGCCCAAAUUCCCUCUGCAAAUGCGAUCCCGUUUGCUUUGAAAAUGAUACUUGAAAUUUUGGCAGAAAAGAUGUUGGCUCAUUUCUGAAGUUCUGUUGCACAUACAUGCAUUAUAUGUUAUAAAAAUAAUCCAUCUCCAUUAGUCAUAGAUCUGUUAGGGUUUGUAGAAUCAGAAUGGGAGGAGGGGUCCCUUUUAAACAUUAUAGGUAGGAUUUCUUGCACAGUACAGGUAUUGUAUAUCCCAUAGCUAUUCCCACAUCGAUAAUAAGAGACUUCAGUCCAACGUGACAAAAAUGGGAUACCUUUGUGGAAGGAGCAUAGGGAAAGCUUGCUUUGUUGCAGGUGGCAGCAAGCUGCCACCACAGGAGUGUGAAGACUCCAUGCAGGCGGAUUCUGAACGGCAAGGAAGAGCUGGCACAGGGCCAGGAGCCAUGGCAUAUCGAAAGGCUUGGGAUCCCAAUUUCUGGCUGUCGUGGUGCUGCAAGUGUGGUGGCAGCUGGGAGCCUCUGCUUUGGACACAGACAAGAUACUGUCAGCAAUAUGAUUGGCAGCAGCUCUCUCUUUUUAGACACAGCAUCCCCUCAUUCCUGCUGAGCUUAUAUCAGCAUGCCCACCAUCUAAUCUCAGAAAUAAAUGUACAAUCUGGCAUCCCACCCUUAAAAGGUAGCUGACCCGCUGCAGUGCUGACAGCAUGGAAGAAAACACUGAGAUCCAUUAAAUUAAUUCCGUAUUCAUUGUAUGUGACUAAAUAUUAUUUAUCCGAUCUGUGUAUCAAUUUACCAACUCAUACUAUGUUUAUAGCAUCUCAAACAGCUGUUCAAAUUUGAGUUGGUAUGUGUGAAGCACCUGAAUAUCUCAAAAAGCACUGCAAAUAGGUACUAUUCGUCCAAGUAGCAUCUCUUGCAGAUAAGCUGUUUCUAAAAGGCCAUUCUGAAAUAGUUACAUUCUACGAAGUUCUAUCGAAUUUAUAUUUAUGUAAAGCAAGCACAAUUUGUGUGAUAGUUCUUGACUGCUCUUCAGAAAGCUAGAUAUUUAAUUUCAAGCAUAGGUUGCUCUGAAAGUAAUGCCUCCUAUUUAUUUCCAUGGAAACUACAACAGAUGCAAAGAGUACAAUAACACGAGUUGAUAAAGCAAAUUCUCAGUUACAAAACGCCAUCUUUCUACACAGUCACCACCAUUAGCUGUGUAUUUUUGCCAGCAAUGAGCAAGAAGGUUCAGCCUCUACUGCCAUACCACCACCAUCUGCCUCUGACAUUGUGGGCCAACAUCAUAAAAUAGGAUGCAUUACUUUUGGAGCAUCCUUUGCACUUCUGUUUAUUAAAUAUGAAUUAUAUAAACACUGAGUGAUCAAUACAUCAUAGCUUUACUGAGACGUUGAUAUGUGAUCUAAGAGUGGAGAAUAAAACCAUUUUCCUAAUAAUGCCAGCAAAUACAGUAGGAAGGACAGCCCCAUUUGUAAGGACUACUUUUGUUAAUAUAAACUUUACCUCCGUUUAAAGAGUUUGCAUGUUGUCAGUUUAGCUGGAACAGCAAAAUCAUCUUACACCUGGUGCUACAGCCACUUCUGAAAUGGUGAAUAAGAAUAUCCCAUUAAGAUCAGUCUGUUAUCCUACACAUAGCAAGGAGCCCAAAGGGUCUUGGAGCACACUGUACAAACACAGAUAACCCCAUGCAAUUUUACACUGCAGAAAAUCUCCUCAAAAGUACAGAAGUACACAGAAGAUUGAGCAGGCUGUUGUGUACAGUUUGCUACGUCACCAUUCAGUGUUUCUACUGCUGCAAAAAAUGCAAAGUGAUCUCUAAUGACCAGGUUUCUUCUCUAACAGAUUGCUUCUUUAUAUCCUUUAGGAGACGGAAUGGUAGGGGGAUGUAACGGAAUGAACUGCAAACGUAGGUGGUUUGUUGAGCUUUUUUGUUAGUGUUUGUGUAGGGUUCUGAUCCCGGUCUAACUUAAAGAAAAAAAAGAGCAAGAACAUGACAAAGCAGAGCCCCAAAAGGCAUGAAUGUGGCUCUCUGUGGAAAAGCGUGAAAACAAUUGUACCCAUUACAUGCUGGGUUUGGAACUCCGUGCAGCCUAAGCCUAUUGAAAUAUAUAUUUGUAAGCGGGAGUGGUGGGGAGGGAGGAUGCAUCGGAAUGAGGCCUGGAGCUGAAAUGCUGUCGUAAAGGCAGUAGGAGGAGAGAAGGCUAUAAACUGGCUGCCAUCCUCACAUUGAAAAAGGUCCGGAAACAUCUUAAUGCCAAAUGUCACACCUUUCGUUCCUGUUUUUCCUUAGUUUUCCAUUUAAGCAAUUCAAACUUUCCCUAUUUGUGUUACCAGUCUAUGGAAGCUGGGUUAUCUAAAGGCUUUUUGAUUUUGCUCUAUCCUAUCCUGACAAACUCCUGCUCAUUCAACCUUUAUAUGUUAAACUUUUAAUAACCAAUACGACUGCAUCAGUACUAACAAAAAAAAAAAAAAAAAGAAGAAGAAGAAAAAAAAAAGAAUCCCACACAACAGAUUUCUCAGCAUCACCACGGCCUGGGAGAACUUGCUGCAGUGACAGGAGGCAAUUUAUAAGGAAUUAACUCUGACAGUCACUUUAUACAGCUGAUUUUCAAAGAUCUGGGCACUAAAGAAGUGUUAAUGAGGGUACUGAGGCUUCAUAAUUAAUUAUAUUAGCAUCUCUUUGUUGCUCUCUAGAACAGUAGUGCCUGGUUGACAUUUCAAUGGGAAUCUGGUAGUAUUCUUUGUUAUUAUUAUCCAGGAGUACAGUUAUACCUUAGCUCCCAGAGGGCAACGUUGCAUGUAAAUGCCUCUGUGAAUUGCAAGAGUCUUUGGAUCUCAGUAAAAGCCCUUGAAGGAGACCCUGCUGGAUACUGAAUGGAUGUCAGUAAAAUUUCUCUAGUCUGGAGUCUCUCUUCAGAUAUGGACUCUCCUCCCCUUUCAUUUCUCCCUUCCCCCUUCCUUUCCACUGUGCCAGUCCUUCUCACAAGGCUUAAGAACAGCACUUUCUGAAUCUUUAGUUCCAAACCUUUAAAGGAAGGAAUACUGACCUGAACGAAACAGUGAACAGAGAAUAGAACAGUCCUCAGAAAAUAGGGAAUAUUUUUCACACGCUUGAGUUUUCAUUGCAAUAAAACCAGCACUGCCAGAAGGAAUCCCAGAAGUGGUGAGUCAGAUAAUAGACGUACGGCUGUGGUGGGAGGGAAACGGUCUCUACUUUGUUUUACACCCUCCUCAGCUUUCUUUGUAAAGGCAGAUGAAAUUAUUUUCCAGUCGUGCCACUGCAAAAGCAAACACAGAGUUUAAAGGUUAUUUCCUCUGUGUGUUUUUGAGAGUCAUUACUUUUGAAUCCAAAAGGGGAAGGAUGACUUUUUGGCAAUGAUGUCGAAUUCUACUCUGAAAGCUUCUUCUGCAUCACCCGAAGUUCUCUUAUUUUGUACGUCGAUAUCCCACUUGCUUGUGUUAAUUUAAACAAAACUAACAACAGUGUGGUUUUUUCACACCAGCUGAACCGCAGCCUUGCCACAGUAAGGGCACACUGACAAACACAUCUCCUGUGUCAGUGAGAUCGAUGCAACCUGUUCUCACCCUUUCCCCAUUCAUACCUGCCGUUACGCGACCUUGUCUCUUGUGGCAUUCUUUGUGCAUCUGCAGCAGGGAACAGAUCAGAGUAUUAGUCUCAGUUAAAAAUAAGUGUUUUUCUGAGGACUAUUUUUUAAUUGAAAUCAGGUUCCCGAUUCAGUUUAACACGAGGCUGCACAAAAAAACCAGCACUGGCACAAUCCAAGGCCAGCACGAUGGGGAAGAGAGGAGGAAUGUGGGGAGGGGGGGGGAAUGUAUAAGCAGGACCUUCUAGCAGAAAAAUGAGUCAAACAACGUCCUCAAAGACUUCAGAUCCUUCCAAGCCAGAGCCACCUCUUUGCUUUGUGUUCAGACAGCACCUUGCGCAAAGGGAUGGCAGUUACAGGACUCUCAGGACUCUCAGAGCCAUUGUAAUACCCACAAAUAAUAAGCGUUCCUACAGACUGACACAAUUAACCAAAUUCCACUUGCAGAUCUUCAUUGUUGGCAACUCGAGCAGCAUUUUAUGUAGCUGAAGCUGAAGCCUAGCUCUAUUCCUACAUUCUGUCUCUGGCUCUAAUGAGGGAUAACUGGAUAACUCUGGCAUGUAGUUAAUCAAUACAAGAAUUACUUUUCUCACAGAGUUUUUAUAUUUAGCUAGAUUCUUUUACGAGCUUUGACAUUCUCAGAUGAAAAGAAUAAUGUGUACAAUGCAUUGUUAUAGCAAAAACUGUGUAUGACAUCUCUACGCAUUCUCCUCCUUUUUGUUUCACCUCUUCUGUCACUGCACUCCCACAGAAAGCUCAAGACGUGCUGCGGAUGUCUGAGUAACGCCAACUGGAGGCAGCAGGAUUGUAAAUAUCAUACUCACUCUUCACUGAGCAAUAUUCAGUGUAUUUGUUUUAAUCUGAUAUUUCCUGCAUAGAAACAGAGGUUACUUCCCCUGAGAGUUCACGUAUCGAUAGCGCUCUCCGUAACAAGGGAAGUCCUUCGUGAUUCCCACAAAAGCUGCUGCCCCUGGGUAGCAAGACAAUGGAUGGAAUACACUGCGUAAAACUGUGGUCUUUAUGGCUCUUCCUGAGGGCCCAAAUCUGGAAGAACUCAACUUGGUUUAGGACUCAGCAAGAAUUUUCCUUCAUAGGAGUAAGGGGGUGAUAAAUACGAGUUUAGAGAAUUGGCCAUAAAGUACUGGAAAGCAAAUGUUUAUGGAUUCUGUUUGUGGAAAAGGGGUGUGCUUCUUAACUUCCCCGCGAGUGGAAAAGUGAGAGAUGAUUAUCUGAAGCUCUCUGAAGGAAAACCUACAGAAGAAGAAAGUAUAGUUUUGUGACUCCUCAACAUUGCUGCAUCCCUACUGCUUAGAUAUCCUAAACCUUUGAUUCAGCUUUCACACACAUUUAAUGGUUGGCAACCCUGCCCACAGCAGGGGGUUGGAACUAGACGAUCUUUGAGGUUCCCUUCCAACCCAAGCCAUUCUAUGAUUUGAGUACUUUUGAUCCAGAUCUACAGUGUCUAUUUAUAAGGACUCUAUCCAGUACUGGACCUUCUGCCCUAGCUACAAGGAAAUUAGUCUUUCUCUGGACAGAGCAGAAAGCAAAGGCAAAUAGCUACUUCCUCUGUUUAUUAUUUUGGGUCCUUCUACACUAAAACAUAGCUGGCACAGCUAUUCCAGAGUACCUCCCAGUAUUAAUAUUGCAGUAUUUCAGUCUGAAAGUGUCUGUUAGUGAUUGAUUGUUCUACCUAGGAAUACCUUCUGUGAGUGGUCAGUUUGUCCAACAACUUCUGUUCAGAGCUUUCAUUCCACAAGAUUGUAUGUAGUAGAAGAGCCUCAAAUGCAAACAUUAAACCAUCUACAACAGGUAUUGAUUAACGAUCAGAUUGUUUCAAGUAAAUCUAAUGUUUUUCAGACAUUUUCUGUGAAACCAUUCUAGCCGUACUGAGCUUGGCUGAAGGCUCCCACAGCCUCAGCACAGAAUGGAUUGGCCCUAAUUCUGUCCUGCAGAACUAGUGAUUGAGUAUCCCUAACGAAAGGGCUGGAAGAUCUGCAGGUACGAAUGCAUCAGAGAAAUCUCAGUAUCCUGCGGGCACUGCAGAUAGUGAAGAACCACUCUGGCACAUGCCAAUACAUGUUUCUGAACAAGUCUUUUGUAUAUUCCAGAUCCCAUCUUGAGCUGUGAACUCCUCAGGCUGGAGGAGAUGGAUAUCCACAUCUGGAAGUGGCAGUAGCACAUCUGGACAGGGUCAUGGAGACUCGGCAAUUCCUGGGGGCUGUCAAACUGAUUACACGCAGCAAACCAGCCGGUGUGCCUCUGCCUGCUGCUUAGAGUAAGCACUGAUAUGUCAGUCAGACUUUACUAUCAAGUACGAGCUUAUGUGCGCUUCAAGUGUUGUUCAGCCUUCAACUCCUUGGUGUAUUCAGUCAUUUAAAAACUUUCAUACACUCUAAAAAAAAAUGUUGUCUUGCACUGCACUGCCAGGGGGAUCUUUGUUUCAAAUACAGAGCGUCAGCCUGCAAAGCUUCUGUGGAAGACCAGGCUCCCAGUGUUAAAAUGAUCCUUGUUUUCUAUUUCUAUACAAUAAUUUCUGUGAGAUUCUUCUGGAUGGAGGGCUAUAAAAACGUUAAGCUGCUAUUCAUCACGCUGACUUGCAUGAUUUUAUGUGUGCCCAUUCUGUAUAGCAGGAAUACUUAGUGGGAAAUUUAUUCUUCGCUUUUUCACACACCAUUACAUUGUAUUUGUGAGGAUUUAGCACGUUUUCUGGCUUCGCUCACCAAAUCAAGGGUCCACGUUUAAUAGGUACAGCUGAUGUUACAAAAACUAGGCACAAUUACCAAUUAUGUCUCUGUCUUGUAGUAAUAUAUCUAUCUAAAGAAAGAAACAUUGGGAGAUCUGAACUUCUGCAUCAAAGAGGAGACUGUCUUUAUGAAUAGGCCCUGUUUAUUCCAUUCUUGAGAACAACAAGCAACUACCACUAUACUCUAUGUAAACUGUAAGGCCAUUAAUCACUAUCAGGAGCUGCCAACACCCCCCAGACGUUUACAUAUACACAGAGGAAAACGAACACGAGUUUUCUUCACUUAUCUGAGCGUCACUGCCACCCCGAAGGAUGUGAAGAUCUAACUCCUUUAUUUGACAGCACGGGAGGACUCGGGCACUCAGCUGGAAAGGUACCACAGACAGUCCAGUUUUGUACCUUCAACCAUACAACUUGAAGUUCAGAGAAGAGCAGGAAUACAAACUGUAAUACCAAUGGAAAAAAGCUACUUGUGAUGCAGGCAGCAGAGCUACUUGGAUGGUGUCGUUCAGGAAAAAGA